rnacentral:rRNA from 1 species
GUGAGGAAUAUUGCGCAAUGGAGGCAACUCUGACGCAGCCAUGCCGCGUGCAGGAAGAAGGCGCUACGCGUUGUAAACUGCUUUUAACCGGGAAGAAACCCCAGGACGUGUCCUGGGUUGACGGUACCGGAGGAAUAAGCACCGGCUAACUUCGUGCCAGCAGCCGCGGUAAUACGAAGGGUGCAAGCGUUAUCCGGAUUCAUUGGGUUUAAAGGGUGCGUAGGCGGAGCGUUAAGUCAGUGGUGAAAUCCUGCAGCUUAACUGUAGACUUGCCAUUGAUACUGUCGCUCUUGAGUGCGCUUGAAGUGGGCGGAAUGUGCGGUGUAGCGGUGAAAUGCUUAGAUAUGGCACAGAACACCAAUUGCGAAGGCAGCUCACUAAGGCGAUACUGACGCUGAGGCACGAAAGCGUGGGGAUCGAACAGGAUUAGAUACCCCUGUAGUCC